rnacentral:lncRNA from 1 species
UUUCACACUAAAAAAGACAAAACCAUCAUUAUCAGUGUUCCAAAUCUUGUCAUUAAAUUAAUAGCAAAAUGUGUCCAUAUUGACAAGAAACCAAGAACUGAAAUAAUUAGGCUUAAUCUAGGGGAUUAGGAGUUGGGACUAGAAAAUUACCCCUAAUAAGAUCAGCAAGUUACACAAGGGGUUUACCCAGUGCGCACGAAGUGCUCAUCCGAAGGGCAGAGGUUGUAGUGGUCGCGGGUUAUCCGGGGGUUCCAAAAAAAAAAUCAGCAAGUAGUGUUUUAGCAUGAAAUAUAUAGUACGAAGCACUAGGGUCUAAACAUAAUCAUUUCAUCCUUGUUUGGUAUCUGCAUCAUCCUUCACAGAGAGUUCAAGGGAUACUGGACAAUGGUCACUCCCAUAGAAACCUACAAUUCAUACAACAUAUUAAGCUUUAGAUACGCGGCAAAAUAACAGGCAUGAAGAAGAAAAACACACAGUUAACGACAAUAACACCAGCUGCAUACGUCAAAGAUGCUAACGUUAGUGAGACUUCAUAUCACAC